GGGUUAUAGCUCAGUGGUUAAAGCAUCUGCUUUGAAUACAGAAAGUCCCAGGUUCAGUCCUUGGCAUAUUCG